rnacentral:rRNA from 2 species
AAGUCGUAACAAGGUUUCCGUAGGUGACCUGCGGAAGGAUCAUUG